rnacentral:rRNA from 1 species
UACGUAGGCAGCGAGCGUUGUUCGGAGUUACUGGGCGUAAAGGGUGUGUAGGCGGUUCUUUAAGUUUGGUGUGAAAUCUCCCGGCUCAACCGGGAGGGUGCGCCGAAAACUGGGGGACUAGAGUGCGGGAUGGGAGAGUAGAAUUCCUGGUGUAGCGGUGAAAUGCGUAGAUAUCAGGAGGAAUACCGGUGGUGUAGACGGCUCUCUGGACCGUAACUGACGCUGAGACACGAAAGCGUGGGUAGCAAACAGG